rnacentral:rRNA from 1 species
CUCUAUGCGCCUCACAGGGGGUGGCCGCGCCGCGAGGGGGAGCUAAUCCCAUAUAACCGAUCGUAGUCCGGAUCGCAGUCUGCAACUCGACUGCGUGAAGUCGGAAUCGCUAGUAAUCGUGAAUCAGAAUGUCACGGUGAAUACGUUCCCGGGCCUUGUACACACCGCCCGUCACACCAUGGGAGUGGGUUGCUCCAGAAGUAGCUAGUCUAACCGCAAGGGGGACGGUUACCACGGAGUGAUUCAUGACUGGGGUGAAGUCGUAACAAGGUAGCCGAAGGGGAACCUGCGGUUGGAUCACCUCCUAA